rnacentral:misc_RNA from 1 species
GGGCUCUUCUACGAUCAGUAGGAAAGUUCUCUUCUCUUUGAAAAUGGAAGCUUAACUUGCAUGCUAAACAUGACUCUAUUUUGUAUUUUUCAAUUUUUACAGGUAAUGCUUAGUAAGAAAAAUUGAAAUAUCAAAACUUAGACCUAAGAACAAUAACAAGACCCUAAACCGGUGUGCAAAAGAUCAAAAGUUACAGGAUCACAAUAUUUCACUAGACCCUAAUUAUUUUUACGAGACCACCUGUUCUUUGAAUUUUCAUCUGCAAAACUUCUCUCAUCUAUCCAUCUAGAACUUCGUUCAGGAGGGCAGUGGCCUCUUGUUGGAGAUGAGAAAUCUUUACCAUAAUUGGCUGUAAAACCAUGUUUCCGAAAGGGCAUUCUCGUUCGACUCAUUCUGGCAUCAGACCUUAUAUCCGGAGAUCUACUAUGCCUUCUUCUGCUGUUGAGGUCUCGUUCUCUCUGUGUAUGCCACGAAUAGGGAGAAGGUGUUCUAGAUCUUGAACGAGAUCUCCUCCUCAGCAGUGGAAUACGAGCUACUCUACUUGAAGCUGGAGAACCAGUUCUUUCUCCUCUGGGGGGUACAUAAUGAGGCACGCGUACAUCACCAGGCAUAAACUCAUACCCUUCUUCCCUUGCACCUCUUGCAACCCUCUCAGAGAUACUUUCAGCACCAUUGCGGCUCCGGUAGGCUCCUCUCACUGCUACCAUCCUCCUAUGAACAUCAUAAUAGUCAUCCCUUUCAACAGAUGAUCUCCUCCUCAAAGGUGGCCUGCGCGCACCUUCUGAGGGAAAAUUUAUUGAUUGCUGAUGAUCUCGAGAGCUAAACCCACCUAACUUGUCAGCAGAAUUUGCAAAAUUGCGAUGCCUUGAGUAGUUAUCACUCUCAGGGUCACGAUAAGCAUUUGGGUAGCAAUCUCUUGAAUUCGAGCUAUUCCACUGGCCAUUCGUUGCCCUUUUGUCUUGUGAAUUAUAACCAGACCGAUAUCUACCAACGAAUUUAUCUGGACUAACUUCUCUUACAGGCUUAUUGUAACAACCAAUAAGGUUAUGGGGCCUAUUUUGGUACUUCCGUGCAGCGCUAUUCCCAUCUGCCGCACCCAAAUGUAGGGGUCCUUCAAUACGUGACUGUAGCUUCCCUCUGUUUGCCUUUGAACUAAUUUCCCCCGUGUAUGACCCUCUGAAUUCAUAUGCUGCCAUGCGAUCAGAUGUAUGCGCUUUUCUAAAAGCAUCUUCUUUUCUUCCAAUCUUAUCAUUGAACCUUAGAGCUGUAGAUCUAGAUCUAGAUCCAGAUCCAGGACGCAACCCUUUCUUUCCACCACUAUCACCAAUGCUAUUGUCCUCCCUGUUGAAAUGCCUCUUUAUAAAGUUUUUUGCAGAUCCACUCUUCACAAAAUCUACUCCUGCUCUGCUGGUUGACGAGAUUCUUUUUUCUGUACUUUGUGAACCAUCAGAACCUGCUUCAACCAUUUCAGAGGAUGGGUAAUCACUGGCAUCAAAAUCCAAGUCAACUCUACCUUCUGAAGCAUAAUCAACACAUUCAUCUUCACCAUCCUUAAUUUCAUUGUCCUCCAAAGAAUACAUAAUUGAUCCCCUUAGUUCUCCGUCCUCAAAUGGAGAAUCAUAGCCAGCCUCAGUUCUAGUCACAUGCUCUCGACUAAUAAGUUGACCAUGAUCUUCAUGAGAUAUAUCAGAAUUAUGGCUUUCUUCAAAAGCCGAAGCACUCCUUGCAAAUUGACUAGUGUCAUCGAUCUGCAAUCCCUCAUUACAGCUUUUUGAGGAGUCCUUCCCAGAAGUUGUGCAUUUUUCCACUUGAUUAGAUGUUAAGUUAUCACUGAACUUAGAAAUUACUUCAUUCCCUUCUAACUGCAUUUGAGAAUCAAUAGCUAAAAUGUUGUCAUGUGGAUUACUAUCAGAACUUUCAACAUCCAUGACAUUCAAAAUACUAGUAUCAGAAACUUCACUGGUUAUAGGAUCACUACAGUCAAUGUAUUUAUUAGAGGCGUUCUCACAAUCAGGCUUUGCUGGGUAUGGGACCUCAGAUAAAGCAGCUUUAUUAAAUCCUGCAGCCUUUACAGAAGACUCUCUAAUCUGUGUCAAAACUAGGCCAUCAGAAGCAUUCGUAAUUAAUCCAUUUGAAACAAGCAUGCAUGAAGCAUUCUCUGAUUUAACUAAAGAAGAAUCAGCUAAUGGUGCAUCUCCAGUGACAAGUUCAUCAAAUGUUUCUCUUUGCGCAGAUAAAGAGUCCAAGGCUUUGGUAGAAUGGCUAACAAUGUUUCCAAACUCACCAGCAUUAACUGAGACUGAUUCAAGCUUGCAUACUUCAGCAAACUCAUAAACUGUUGCAUUUUGAUCAGCAGGCCCAGAAAUGGGUUUACAGUAUUCGAAACCCCCCUUUUUAUCACAAAUUUCUAUUAUGUGUCUCUCAUUCUGUGCUCCAUCAUCUAAGCCAUUGGCAAAGGCAUUUUCCACAGAAGAAUCCUUGGGAGGUUGCACCCAUGUUUCAAUUGAAGUGUUGAGAUCCCAGUGUAUUCUGUCGACCUUUGGUGACACUGGUCUACUUACAACUGAAGGUUCUUUAAAGUCAGCAAAACUUUUAAGAGCAACAGCCGAUUCAUUAACAGUGGAGGACUCCAUGUUGCUUCCAUGCAUCAUAUCUCCUCUACCAGGAUCCGCCAACUCCUUCAGGGCUGAU